GGGACGGCCAAAGCACAUUCGCACAGGGUCUGGAGACACAGACGUAAUGGGAUCAUUUUAAAAUGUUCAGCUUUGGUCACAACGGCGAUCAGUCGCAAAGUGCCAGACUCUCUACCUGGGUGUUUUCUCUGAGCCACAGGUAUUGAAGGAGAAGCUGUAACUGUGAGAAUCAAAGCAAAAUAAUGACCGCUUAGGGGGAAGGAGUGGACACUUAAACAUGAGCUGAAAUCAAGACAGACAUGACUGAAACCUCCUCUCAGAAGUAAACUUUUAUAAAACAGUUGUUUGAUUAUUGGAAAUUGAACUGACAGUUGUCUACAAGAAAUUCAGUUCCGGAUGGAAUUCAUGCAAACUGGAGCUGCACAUUAGUGUUGUGGAAAACAAACACUCUGGCUUCAUGGCGAGAUCAGCUGAAGCCCAGAGGUUCGUGCCGGUGCAGGACGUGCAAUAUUACGAUCAUCUCAUCCUGCUGAUGUGAGGAUACCUGCUUGGGGAUGUCGAUGAGGGAGGAAGCCGCCAGCUGCGUGAAGGU